CCUACGGGAGGCAGCAGCAAGGAAUAUUGGACAAUGGCCGCAAGGCUGAUCCAGCCAUCCAGCGUGCAGGAAGAAGGCCCUAUGGGUUGUAAACUGCUUUUAUCAGGGAAGAAACCUCUGGAUUUACUCCGGAGCUGACGGUGCCUGAAGAAUAAGCUCCGGCUAACUCCGUGCCAGCAGCCGCGGUAAUACGGAGGGAGCUAGCGUUAUUCGGAAUUACUGGGCGUAAAGCGUACGUAGGCGGUUAUUCAAGUCAGAGGUGAAAGCCCGGGGCUCAACCCCGGAACUGCCUUUGAAACUAGGUAGCUAGAAUCUUGGAGAGGUCAGUGGAAUUCCGAGUGUAGAGGUGAAAUUCGUAGAUAUUCGGAAGAACACCAGUGGCGAAGGCGACUGACUGGACAAGUAUUGACGCUGAGGUACGAAAGCGUGGGGAGCAAACAGGAUUAGAUACCCUGGUAGUCCACGCCGUAAACGAUGAUAACUAGCUGUUCGGGCACUUGGUGCUUGAGUGGCGCAGCUAACGCAUUAAGUUAUCCGCCUGGGGAGUACGGUCGCAAGAUUAAAACUCAAAGGAAUUGACGG
rnacentral:rRNA from 1 species